UUACUUUACAAGAUAGUAAAAAUUUCAUUGUUGAGUUGAUUAUUGAUUUACUCUCGGAUUUUCGUCAAUCAGUUUUUACUUGUUGUGUGUUUGAACUUCAAACUUUUUGAGGUUGUGUAUCUUUAUGUGAACUUUCUAAAAAGCUAUUAUACGUUUUAAUUGGACUAAAAUUGAAUUUUUAGUGGAUUUUUUAUUAGAAGGGCGUUCAUUGCCUUGGCAGUUUUGUGUACUCCAAGUUGCUCUCAGGUUUCCAUCAAUCAAUUUUCAUGUAUUGCAUAUUUGAUAGUAAAACUUUUUGAAGUUGUGUAUGUUGAUGUUAGCUUUUCAAAAAGCUAUUGCAAGUUUAAAUUGGAAUUGAUAAAAAUUUAUAGUGAAUUU
rnacentral:lncRNA from 1 species